UAGAGUUUGAUCCUGGCUCAGGAUGAACGCUGGCGGCGUGCCUAAUACAUGCAAGUCGAACGAAGAACUAGCUUGCUAGUUCUUAGUGGCGAACGGGUGAGUAAUACAUAAAUAAUCUGCCCAUAUGACUGGGAUAACUAUUGGAAACGAUAGCUAAUACCGGAUAGGUUAAUUGAAGGCAUCUUCGAUUAAUUAAAGUAGGUUUUCUACACAAAUGGAUGAGUUUAUGGCGCAUUAGUUAGUUGGUGGGGUAACGGCCUACCAAGACGAUGAUGCGUAGCCGACCUGAGAGGGUGACCGGCCACACUGGGACUGAGACACGGCCCAGACUCCUACGGGAGGCAGCAGUAGGGAAUUUUCGGCAAUGGGCGCAAGCCUGACCGAGCAACGCCGCGUGAGUGAUUAAGGCCUUCGGGUUGUAAAGCUCUGUUGUAAGGGAAGAACAAUCAGUAUAGGAAAUGAUACUGAUCUGACGGUACCUUACCAGAAAGCCACGGCUAACUAC
rnacentral:rRNA from 1 species